rnacentral:lncRNA from 1 species
GGGGGAAGGUAGAGAGGGAGACCUCAGACUGUUUGCUUGUGCUGUUUUAAAGUAGACAUGAUUUAGGAGAUAAUGACAUUUCUAGGAAUCUGCCAGCAAUUAACGAUGCAAAUUGCUAAACGCUGCAGCUUCAUCAAACCUGAGCUGCAGGAAUUUAGACUAAAGAACACCUGACUUCAAAGCAGCGGUCCAAAGGGACAAUUGCUGAAAGCCCCACCAGGAAGACUGUUUCAUUGUUUCACUUUUAAGACCCUUUAAAGACCUGAAGGAGUGUUUGCUGAGCUUCAGCGUAAUAACCUAGUUGUCUGAUUGAGCACUUGGUAUACGUUACAUUGUUGU